GGAUGGGUGGCCGAGCGGUUUAAGGCACUGGUCUUGAAAACCAGCGAUGUGAAAGCAUCCGUGGGUUCGAAUCCCACCCCAUCCGCCA
rnacentral:tRNA from 1 species